rnacentral:rRNA from 1 species
CCUACGGGUGGCAGCAGUGGGGGAUAUUGCACAAUGGGGGGAACCCUGAUGCAGCGACGCCGCGUGGGUGAAGAAGCGCCUCGGCGCGUAAAGCCCUGUCAGCAGGGAAGAAAAUGACGGUACCUGAAGAAGAAGCCCCGGCUAACUACGUGCCAGCAGCCGCGGUAAUACGUAGGGGGCAAGCGUUAUCCGGAUUUACUGGGUGUAAAGGGGGCGCAGACGGCGAUGCAAGCCAGGAGUGAAAGCCCGGGGCCCAACCCCGGGACUGCUCUUGGAACUGUUUUUCUUGAGUACUGGAGAGGCAGACGGAAUUCCUAGUGUAGCGGUGAAAUGCGUAGAUAUUAGGAGGAACACCAGUGGCGAAGGCGGUCUGCUGGACAGCAACUGACGCUGAGGCGCGAAAGCGUGGGGAGCAAACAGGAUUAGAUACCCUUGUAGUC